rnacentral:rRNA from 1 species
CCUACGGGAGGCAGCAGUGGGGAAUAUUGCGCCAUGGGGGCAACCCUGACGCAGCAACGCCGCGUGAUUGAAGAAGGCCUUCUGGUUGUAAAGAUCUUUAAUUGGGGACGUAACAAAUGACGGUACCCAAAGAAUACGCUCCCGCUAAUUACGUGCCAGCAGCCGCGGUAAUACGUAGGGAGCAAGCGUUAUCCGGAUUUACUGGGUGUAAAGGGCGAGUAGGCGGGCUGGCAAGUUGGGAGUGAAAUUCCGGGGCGUAACCCCGGAAGUGCUUUCAAAACUGCUGGUCUUGAGUGAGGGGGAGGCAGGCGGAAUUCCGGGUGUAGCGGUGAAAUGCGUAGAUAUACGGAGGAACACCAGUGGCGAAGGCAGCCUGCUGGACAUUAACUGACGCUGAGGAGCGAAAGCGUGGGGAGCAAACAGGAUUAGAUACCCUUGUAGUC